AUACUCUGGUGUCUCUUCAGAUCAUAUAAAUCU
rnacentral:snRNA from 1 species